rnacentral:lncRNA from 1 species
UUUCGAGAAGAUGUACCAGUACAUGGUCGAGGCAUAGAGGAGUCAACCCUCCUCGAUUAAACCACUCAUUCUUCACCUUCAUAGAAAAUGAAGGAAGCAAGCACGAAUUAGGUGGAAGGAGACGAUUGCAAAAGUGGGGAAGAAAAAUUAUGCUGUCAAGCCGAACCUGGCGCGGCCGAAUCAUCAUGAUGUGGAAAUGGCGAGCAAUUUGAAGAAUCAAAUCUCUCCAGAACUGGUACU